ACUCCUACGGGAGGCAGCAGUGGGGAAUAUUGCACAAUGGGCGCAAGCCUGAUGCAGCCAUGCCGCGUGUAUGAAGAAGGCCUUCGGGUUGUAAAGUACUUUCAGCGGGGAGGAAGGCGAUAAGGUUAAUAACCUUGUCGAUUGACGUUACCCGCAGAAGAAGCACCGGCUAACUCCGUGCCAGCAGCCGCGGUAAUACGGAGGGUGCAAGCGUUAAUCGGAAUUACUGGGCGUAAAGCGCACGCAGGCGGUCUGUCAAGUCGGAUGUGAAAUCCCCGGGCUCAACCUGGGAACUGCAUUCGAAACUGGCAGGCUAGAGUCUUGUAGAGGGGGGUAGAAUUCCAGGUGUAGCGGUGAAAUGCGUAGAGAUCUGGAGGAAUACCGGUGGCGAAGGCGGCCCCCUGGACGAAGACUGACGCUCAGGUGCGAAAGCGUGGGGAGCAAACAGGAUUAGAAACCCCAGUAGUCCCA
rnacentral:rRNA from 1 species